AGCGAACGCUGGCGGCGUGCCUAACACAUGCAAGUCGAACGUGAAAUGGAGCAAUCCAGAGUAAAGUGGCGUACGGGUGAGUAACACGUAGGUAAUCUACCCUAGAGUCUGGAAUAACCUGCCGAAAGGCGGGCUAAUACUGGAUAGAGCGACGGAAUCCGUAAUUGGGUUUUUCGGGAAAGGGAGCGAGCAAUCGCCUUCGCUUUAGGAUGAGCCUGCGUCCCAUUAGGUAGUUGGCGGGGUAAUGGCCCACCAAGCCUGUGAUGGGUAGCUGGUCUGAGAGGAUGAUCAGCCACACUGGAACUGAAACACGGUCCAGACUCCUACGGGAGGCAGCAGUGGGGAAUCUUGCGCAAUGGACGAAAGUCUGACGCAGCCACGCCGCGUGAGUGAAGAAGGCCUUCGGGUUGUAAAGCUCUGUCGGAGGGGAAGAAAACACUUGGGGUGAAUAGCCUCAGGAAUUGACGGUACCCUCAAAGGAAGCACCGGCUAACUUCGUGCCAGCCGCCGCGGUAACAC
rnacentral:rRNA from 1 species